GGGGAUAGAGCUCAGGUUGGUAGAGUGCUUGCCUUGCAUGCACAAGGCCCUGGGUUCGAUCCCCAGCACCA
rnacentral:tRNA from 1 species